GACGAACGCUGGCGGCGUGCCUAAUACAUGCAAGUAGAACGCUGAAGGAGGAGCUUGCUUCUCCGGAUGAGUUGCGAACGGGUGAGUAACGCGUAGGUAACCUGCCUGGUAGCGGGGGAUAACUAUUGGAAACGAUAGCUAAUACCGCAUAAGAGUAGAUGUCGCAUGACAUUUGCUUAAAAGGUGCAACUGCACCACUACCAGAUGGACCUGCGUUGUAUUAGCUAGUUGGUGAGGUAACGGCUCACCAAGGCAACGAUACAUAGCCGACCUGAGAGGGUGAUCGGCCACACUGGGACUGAGACACGGCCCAGACUCCUACGGGAGGCAGCAGUAGGGAAUCUUCGGCAAUGGACGGAAGUCUGACCGAGCAACGCCGCGUGAGUGAAGAAGGUUGUCGGAUCGUAAAGCUCUGUUGUAAGAGAAGAACGAGUGUGAGAGUGGAAAGUUCACACUGUGACGGUAUCUUACCAGAAAGGGACGGCUAACUACGUG
rnacentral:rRNA from 1 species